rnacentral:siRNA from 1 species
UACGUGAACUCUAAGGUCGGCCA